GUCAUGCACUGUCUCUUCCAUUAGCUUGAUUUUCCUACACUGGAUCUGCAACUGGAUCAUUCAUCCCUUGAUUUUCAUGCAAUGGAUCAUUCAUCCCUUGCUGUUGUAGUGAAAUUAAAGUUCUGCGUCUGUCAGCCGGUUCGUGAUGAUUUGUUGUGCGGGAAAGACCCGGAGCGGAACGACUAUUACUGAGGCUUUCGACGAGGACCCGGACUUCAUGCCUGAUCGAGGGAGGGUCGAUGAUAGUAGUGUGGGGUAUGGGUGGUUAGAGUCUUUUGGAAUUGGUUGUUACUGUAAUAGCUCUGAUUCGUUUUGCUUUUGUGACAAGUAGGUUCCCGAUGCAUGGCUUUUUGUGUGGUUCUCUUACGGAGGGAUCACAGUGAGUCAGUCGGACCAUAGGGGUCUUUGCUUAGGCCAUUUGAGGCCGACUUUCUCCUAGUGGUUUGUAAUUAUACUUUUUCUCACUCACACUUCUGGAUCUGUAAAUAUUUGCCUACGGGCACACUACUUUGGAGUCACUGCGAGUGUGUGUGACGUGGAAGUGCAGCUGAGGCUGUACAUGUUUAUAUUUGAUGUAUAUUGGUUAGUUUA